CAGGAGGUGAGCUGGAUGUUGGGAGGCCGACCACGGCCAUCAUCUGACCCCUGUGACACACAUGCUGACAGCAUAUGGUGCAAGACAAGAUCUGUGGGCCCAUGUGCAAGGUUUAGGCACAGAGAAGGCUCCUUGUUCUUCAAGGAUUUGGCUGACAAAUAACGCUGAGCUGAGCUGAGCUGAGCCCGGGCGAGGCGAGGCGAGGCGAGGCGAGCUGAGGCAACUGCCUUGCACCUUGACGGGAUAGGCGACAGACAGACUGCUUGUGGUCCGAAGCCUUUUCUACCACCCCAGUUUUCAUCAGAUUGAGAGUUUCCUGUUACUGCCGCUGAGGAGAAUGCGGCCUCUCUUGAAGCGCCAGCAUGGAGGACAUUUACCAUGGCAACGACUAAUGCAGUAUAGAUGGAAGGAGUGAGCCUUGUCUGCCGGCCGCCGCGGCAAUAAUACAGGAUUGAUUGAAGUCAGGUGAAAUGCCAUUGGGGCUCUUUUAAAUCAGCAAGAAGUGCAUUUGAUAUCCAGCAUGCUCGCUGGCUGUCUCACAUAGUGUUCCCUCCCUGUCUCGUACCCAGAUCCUUCCUUGCUAUAUGGAUUAAAGCACUACUAUAGAACGACUUGUCUUUCUAUUUUUUUUUCCCCUCCUCACAGAGUCAGCAGUGUAUUGUUUCCUGCAUCAGCCACCCCAUAAUACCCCAUGGACAUAAUCCCUUGUGAUGUCACCUCUUGAGAACUUGUGUUUCCUCCUCCUUCACAUACUGGAUUACAACUGGACACUAAAUGGCGCAAGAUUUUAUUGUCAAAGGUUUGACUUGCUUUAUUGGACCUGUACUUCGAUGAUACAUUUGAUUUGUGUUCCAGGCAUCUAUCUGUCCAGAAAUAAUGCUCAAAACAGAAAUAAGAAGACAAAGUGAUUUGCAAAAAUCAAUGACUCAUCGACAACAGUGCGUAUUUUAGCGAUCCCAUGAAACUGUCAACUUUACAAAAGGUCAAAAGUAAAAAAGGUCAAGAAUUUGCUUGUGAAAAAAAAAGUUGUCAACUGAUUUACUGAUGUUUGCUUAGCAAUAUUCUGAGUAUUAGUUUCCAAAUGUGUGCAUUUUGUUGCAUUUUUGAAAGUGAUUGAAAAGAAUGCUUUAUGCAUCUUUAUCUUAAAAGAAAAGGCAUUUGUGCUCUGUUUUGACUUAGCCACAGCCCUUUGCAGGCGUAUCCGUCCAAAACAAACAUUCCUUCCAAGUGCUACCCUGAUGCGUUGUGUCUGCGCGUGCAUGCGUGCACGUGUCUUUGGUCUGCGCCAGUGUAUAGCUGUGUCCAGCCCCUCUCUUUCACAGCUAGAGAAAAGAACCACACCCCUUGGUGCCUUGGUGCACAUGUGUGGUGCGGUGCGGUGUGGUGUGGAGUUCUCCCGGGAUUUAGCCAUUUCUUUUUGCUCGAAAAUAGCUUUGUGACAACCGUGGAAUGUAUUAAGCGCUAUUGCAGAAAGAAAGCGCAGAGAUUUUCUUUAAUUAUGAAAAAUGGUACAUGAAAUGCAUUCUGAAGAAUAAAGUGGCUGGAGGAAACCUCUACAGCCCCCCCAGUCAAAUUCAGAUGGGUGGACGGACUCAGUCCCGGUGGGAGCCAACAGCGGCCAGUCUCGGGUUCAGCCUACUCGCGCAAAAAAAGACGAGGGGCCAAGUAGGCUACGACCAUUGACCCAGCCCGAGUCAUGUCCACAGUGACGGACGGGGGUACCCGCAGUCCACAAGGCGGCCCUGGAAAUCAGGUCCAAAGAGAAGACAGGGUCGUCUUCUGCGCAAGAUGGGAUCAAGAGAUUGUGGUGCGUCCUCACCAAUUGAGGCAAUCAAAGCUUACUGAAGUGCAUCAGGCACCCCACACGACUCCGACAA